CGCGGCGACCGGCGCACGGGUGAGUAACACGUAUGCGACCUGCCCCCGCAGGGGAGUAACCGGGAGAAAUCCCGACUAAUACCGCGUAACGCCGCGGACCUGCAUGGGUCUGCGGCCAAAGGAAGCGAUUCCGGCGGGGGAUGGGCAUGCGGCGCAUUAGCUAGUCGGCGGGGUAACGGCCCACCGAGGCGACGAUGCGUAGGGGUUCUGAGAGGAAGGUCCCCCACACUGGUACUGAGACACGGACCAGACUCCUACGGAAGGCAGCAG
rnacentral:rRNA from 1 species